rnacentral:rRNA from 1 species
UACGAAGGGUGCAAGCGUUGCUCGGAAUUAUUGGGCGUAAAGGGUAGGUAGGUGGUAAUACAAGUCUGGGGUGAAAUCCCUGAGCUCAACUCAGGACGUGCCUUGGAAACUGUAUUACUAGAGUGCUAGAGAGGUUUGCGGAAUUCCUGGUGUAGCGGUGAAAUGCGUAGAGAUCAGGAGGAACAUCAGCGGCGAAGGCGGCAAACUGGAUAGCAACUGACACUCAACUACGAAAGCGUGGGGAGCAAACAGG